GACGGCAGCACCCGCAAGACCGCCUAGACGUCCUAAAGUGUACUGGAACAGCAGACGACGACCUGAUACAGAAAUAGCUGCAUCUCUUCGUCGCCAAUGUAGCUGAGGCGUUUUGGUCGUGAGAGGACAUCGUCGCUACCUACGACGAAUACGUUACCGCUGACAGUGUUUUUCUGCGAGAGGAGAUAUGGGGUCGAGCAACGUCGUCACUCAUGCUAUAGGUUGCUGAGGCCUUUGAAGCGGUCGUAAUGACUUGCUUUCUCUCAUCAACCCCACUUGUUUGCCUGUAAAAGACUGAAAUAAACGAUUUGAUUGAUUGAU